rnacentral:lncRNA from 1 species
CAGUGCAUCUGGACUUGGUUCAAGUGGCACCAGCCAAAUCCCUGCCUUACUGACCUCUCCCCUGGAGGAGCAGGAGCAGCGCUCAAGGCCGCCCUGGGAGGGCUGAGAGGCAGGCUCUGGACUGGGGACACAGGGAUAGCUGAGCCCCAGCUGGGGGUGGAAGCUGAGCCAGGGACAGUCACAGAGGAACAAGAUCAAGAUGCGCUUUAACUGAGAAGCCCCCAAGGCAGAGGCUGAGAAUCAGAAGACAUUUCAGCAGACAUCUACAAAUCUGAAGGACAAAACAUGGUUCAAGCAUCUGGGCACAGGCGUAGAAAUGGGGUUUCGCCAUGUUCGCCAG